GUAGGUGAACCUGCGGAAGGAUCAUUACCAAAUCCAAAACUUUAUCAACACCAAAACAGUGAACUGAGAGUGGUUUCAUUUCCCUUGGAGGCGGAAAAAAAACACGAAACAAAGAAAAAAAAAGCGAGUGAGAUUAUUUCUCCCUCCUUUCCUUUUUUUUUGUUGAAUAUCUUUUUUUCUUUCCGAGGGAAAUGCAUUUUUUCAACCCCUUUUCAACCUUUUUUAAAACCAUGUUAAUGCUGAAAGCAAAACAAAAACAAACCAUGAGACAACUUUUAACGGUGGAUCUCUUGGCUCGU
rnacentral:misc_RNA from 1 species